rnacentral:rRNA from 1 species
GCAGCAUCGCGGUGGCGGAGCGUCGUUUGCGACGCCCAACACACAAAACAAGCGAUGAGUGCUUUGGGGUGGGGUGACUGCGUACCUUUUGUAUAAUGGGUCAGCGACUUAUAUUCUGUAGCAAGGUUAACCGAAUAGGGGAGCCGGAGGGAAACCGAGUCUUAAUUGGGCGUUAAGUUGCAGGGUAUAGACCCGAAACCCGGUGAUCUAGCCAUGGGCAGGUUGAAGGUUGGGUAACACUAACUGGAGGACCGAACCGACUAAUGUUGAAAAAUUAGCGGAUGACCUGUGGCUGGGGGUGAAAGGCCAAUCAAACCGGGAGAUAGCUGGUUCUCCCCGAAAGCUAUUUAGGUAGCGCCUCGUGAAUUCAUCUCCGGGGGUAGAGCACUGUUUCGGCUAGGGGGCCAUCCCGGCUUACCAACCCGAUGCAAACUGCGAAUACCGGAGAAUGUUAUCACGGGAGACACACGGCGGGUGCUAACGUCCGUCGUGAAGAGGGAAACAACCCAGACCGCCAGCUAAGGUCCCAAAGUCAUGGUUAAGUGGGAAACGAUGUGGGAAGGCCCAGACAGCCAGGAUGUUGGCUUAGAAGCAGCCAUCAUUUAAAGAAAGCGUAAUAGCUCACUGGUCGAGUCGGCCUGCGCGGAAGAUGUAACGGGGCUAAACCAU